rnacentral:rRNA from 1 species
UAGGGAAUCUUCCGCAAUGGACGAAAGUCUGACGGAGCAACGCCGCGUGAGUGAUGAAGGCUUUCGGGUCGUAAAACUCUGUUGUUAGGGAAGAACAAGUGCUAGUUGAAUAAGCUGGCACCUUGACGGUACCUAACCAGAAAGCCACGGCUAACUACGUGCCAGCAGCCGCGGUAAUACGUAGGUGGCAAGCGUUAUCCGGAAUUAUUGGGCGUAAAGCGCGCGCAGGUGGUUUCUUAAGCCUGAUGUGAAAGCCCACGGCUCAACCGUGGAGGGUCAUUGGAAACUGGGAGACUUGAGUGCAGAAGAGGAAAGUGGAAUUCCAUGUGUAGCGGUGAAAUGCGUAGAGAUAUGGAGGAACACCAGUGGCGAAGGCGACUUUCUGGUCUGUAACUGACACUGAGGCGCGAAAGCGUGGGGAGCAAACAGGAUUAGAUACCCUGGUAGUCCACGCCGUAAACGAUGAGUGCUAAGUGUUAGAGGGUUUCCGCCCUUUAGUGCUGAAGUUAACGCAUUAAGCACUCCGCCUGGGGAGUACGGCCGCAAGGCUGAAACUCAAAGGAAUGGACGG